rnacentral:rRNA from 1 species
GAUGAACGCUGGCGGCGUGCCUAAUACAUGCCAGUCGAGCGAACAGACGAGGAGCUUGCUCCUCUGACGUUAGCGGCGGACGGGUGAGUAACACGUGGAUAACCUACCUAUAAGACUGGGAUAACUUCGGGAAACCGGAGCUAAUACCGGAUAAUAUAUUGAACCGCAUGGUUCAAUAGUGAAAGACGGUUUUGCUGUCACUUAUAGAUGGAUCCGCGCCGCAUUAGCUAGUUGGUAAGAUAACGGCUUACCAAGGCGACGAUGCGUAGCCGACCUGAGAGGGUGAUCGGCCACACUGGAACUGAGACACGGUCCAGACUCCUACGGGAGGCAGCAGUAGGGAAUCUUCCGCAAUGGGCGAAAGCCUGACGGAGCAACGCCGCGUGAGUGAUGAAGGUCUUCGGAUCGUAAAACUCUGUUAUUAGGGAAGAACAAAUGUGUAAGUAACUAUGCACGUCUUGACGGUACCUAAUCAGAAAGCCACGGCUAACUACGUG